ACAAUUCAGGUCUGUGGUUGAAAGUCGAUGCCAGUUGCAGGCAAAACGAUCCACGUAAGCAGCGGAAUCCGCUGUGAGCACGGUGCAGCUUAGAAGUAAGACCUGCCGCAAAAUGCGAGAGGAGCAGUAGUGGGGAGCCAGAACGCUUAGGAGCGAACCUUCCAGCAGGCGAGUGUGGGGGCGAAGACCAGGUCAGCUGAAUUGU
rfam:Acidaminococcus intestini RyC-MR95, complete genome.